AAUCAACGCUGGCGGCGUGCCUCAGACAUGCAAGUCGAACGCGAAAUUUCCCUUCGGGGAGAAAGUAGAGUGGCGCACGGGUGAGUAACACGUAGGUAAUUUGCCUUUGGGUGGGGAAUAACUCAGGGAAACUUGAGCUAAUACCGCAUAAUGCAGCGGCUCGACAUCGAGACAGUUGUUAAAGCGGGGGAUUGGAGCAAUCCGACCUCGCGCCUAAAGAGAAGCCUGCGGCAGAUUAGCUAGUUGGUAAGGUAAUGGCUUACCAAGGCGACGAUCUGUAACCGGCCUGAGAGGGCGGUCGGUCACACUGACACUGACAUACGGGUCAGACUCCUACGGGAGGCAGCAGUCGGGAAUUUUGGGCAAUGGGCGCAAGCCUGACCCAGCAACGCCGCGUGAAGGAUGAAAUUUUUCGGAAUGUAAACUUCGCAAGAACAGGAAGAAUAAGUGUGGGACAAUACCCCACAUGAUGACGGUACUGUUUGUAAG
rnacentral:rRNA from 1 species